rnacentral:rRNA from 1 species
GGGUUGUGAGGUUAAGCGACUAAGCGUACACGGUGGAUGCCCUGGCAGUCAGAGGCGAUGAAGGACGUGCUAAUCUGCGAAAAGCGUCGGUAAGGUGAUAUGAACCGUUAUAACCGGCGAUGUCCGAAUGGGGAAACCCAGUGCAAUUCGUUGCACUAUCGUUAACUGAAUACAUAGGUUAACGAGGCGAACCGGGGGAACUGAAACAUCUAAGUACCCCGAGGAAAAGAAAUCAACCGAGAUUCCCCCAGUAGCGGCGAGCGAACGGGGAGCAGCCCAGAGUCUGAAUCAGCUUGUGUGUUAGUGGAACGGUCUGGAAAGUCCGACGGUACAGGGUGAUAGUCCCGUACACCAAAAUGCACAGGUUGUGAACUCGAAGAGUAGGGCGGGACACGUGGUAUCCUGUCUGAAUAUGGGGGGACCAUCCUCCAAGGCUAAAUACUCCUGACUGACCGAUAGUGAACCAGUACCGUGAGGGAAAGGCGAAAAGAACCCCGGCGAGGGGAGUGAAAAAGAACCUGAAACCGUGUACGUACAAGCAGUGGGAGCACCUUCGGGUGUGACUGCGUACCUUUUGUAUAAUGGGUCAGCGACUUAUAUUCUGUAGCAAGGUUAACCGUAUAGGGGAGCCGCAGGGAAACCGAGUCUUAACUGGGCGUUAAGUUGCAGGGUAUAGACCCGAAACCCGGUGAUCUAGCCAUGGGCAGGUUGAAGGUUGGGUAACACUAACUGGAGGACCGAACCGACUAAUGUUGAAAAAUUAGCGGAUGACUUGUGGCUGGGGGUGAAAGGCCAAUCAAACCGGGAGAUAGCUGGUUCUCCCCGAAAGCUAUUUAGGUAGCGCCUCGUGAAUUCAUCUUCGGGGGUAGAGCACUGUUUCGGCUAGGGGGUCAUCCCGACUUACCAACCCGAUGCAAACUACGAAUACCGAAGAAUGUUAUCACGGGAGACACACGGCGGGUGCUAACGUCCGUCGUGAAGAGGGAAACAACCCAGACCGCCAGCUAAGGUCCCAAAGUCAUGGUUAAGUGGGAAACGAUGUGGGAAGGCACAGACAGCCAGGAUGUUGGCUUAGAAGCAGCCAUCAUUUAAAGAAAGCGUAAUAGCUCACUGGUCGAGUCGGCCUGCGCGGAAGAUGUAACGGGGCUAAACCAUGCACCGAAGCUGCGGCAGCGACACUAUGUGUUGUUGGGUAGGGGAGCGUUCUGUAAGCCUGCGAAGGUG